rnacentral:rRNA from 1 species
CCUACGGGCGGCAGCAGUGGGGAAUAUUGGACAAUGGGGGAAACCCUGAUCCAGCAAUGUCGCGUGAGUGAAGAAGGCCUUCGGGUUGUAAAACUCUUUCAGUGGGGAAGAUAAUGACGGUACCCACAGAAGAAGCACCGGCUAACUUCGUGCCAGCAGCCGCGGUAAUACGAGGGGUGCUAGCGUUGUUCGGAAUUACUGGGCGUAAAGGGCGCGUAGGCGGCCUGUUAAGUCAGAUGUGAAAGCCCUGGGCUCAACCUAGGAAUUGCAUUUGAUACUAAUAGGCUAGAGAUCAAGAGGGGAAAGCGGAAUUCCUAGUGUAGAGGUGAAAUUCGUAGAUAUUAGGAAGAACACCAGUGGCGAAGGCGGCUCACUGGCUCGGUACUGACGCUGAGGUGCGAAAGCGUGGGGAGCAAACAGGAUUAGAUACCCCAGUAGUC